UACGUAGGGUGCGAGCGUUGUCCGGAAUUAUUGGGCGUAAAGGGCUCGUAGGCGGUCUGUCACGUCGGGAGUGAAAACUCAGGGCUUAACCCUGAGCCUGCUUCCGAUACGGGCAGACUAGAGGUAUGCAGGGGAGAACGGAAUUCCUGGUGUAGCGGUGAAAUGCGCAGAUAUCAGGAAGAACACCCGGUGGCUAAGGCGGUUCUCUAGUACGGUACUGACGCUGAGACGCGAAAGCGUGGGGAGCGAACAGG
rnacentral:rRNA from 1 species